CCUACGGGUGGCAGCAGUGAGGAAUAUUGGUCAAUGGACGAGAGUCUGAACCAGCCAAGCAGCGUGAAGGAUGACUGCCCUAUGGGUUGUAAACUUCUUUUAUAUGGGAAUAAAAUGUUCCACGUGUGGGAUUUUGUAUGUACCUUAUGAAUAAGGAUCGGCUAACUCCGUGCCAGCAGCCGCGGUAAUACGGAGGAUCCGAGCGUUAUCCGGAUUUAUUGGGUUUAAAGGGAGCGUAGGUGGAUUGUUAAGUCAGUUGUGAAAGUUUGCGGCUCAACCGUAAGAUUGCAGUUGAAACUGGCAGUCUUGAGUACAGGAGAGGUGGGCGGAAUUCGUGGUGUAGCGGUGAAAUGCUUAGAUAUCACGAAGAACUCCGAUUGCGAAGGCAGUUCACUGGACUGCAACUGACGCUGAGGCGCGAAAGUGUGGGUAUCAAACAGGAUUAGAUACCCCAGUAGUC
rnacentral:rRNA from 1 species